UACGUAGGGUGCAAGCGUUAUUCGGAAUUACUGGGCGUAAAGCGUGCGUAGGCGGCUUUGCAAGUCAGAUGUGAAAUCUCCGGGCUUAACCUGGGAACUGCAUUUGUGACUGCAUGGCUGGAGUGCGGCAGAGGGGGAUGGAAUUCCGCGUGUAGCAGUGAAAUGCGUAGAUAUGCGGAGGAACACCGAUGGCGAAGGCAAUCCCCUGGGCCAGCACUGACGCUCAUGCACGAAAGCGUGGGGAGCAAACAGG
rnacentral:rRNA from 1 species